AUAAUAAAGUGUUUUUAAUAGGUAUGUGUAUUUUGUUUUUCACCAUUAAAUUUUUAUAUUGUAUAAUGUAUAUACUUAUUAUCCAUUUUUUAUUACUUUUUCAUGAACAUGUAGGAAACAAAGAGAGUUUGAAGGUGGAGGGGGAAGUCGGGUAUGAUGAUCUUUACGACCAAGUCUUGGAGUUCUACCGUAGUAAAUACUGUAGAAAGGUGAUGAAGUUAGUUGAUAUAGGAGGAGGUAGGUUUUUAUACUAGAUCUAUUAAAGUUUCAUUCUUACCAAUUCAUCACGUUGUAUAUUUAAAAUUAUCAUAUUUAGUACAUAAUGAACAUAUAUAUUGUCCUUACUAAGCUUCUUGUAUACAGAGCCUAUUCAAAUUCUUCAAGGUUGGGUUGAAAGUUUUUUCAACUCUAUUAAAAAGUGUGACGUGAAAUAGUUUCGAAAACAAGUAUACAGAGCCUAUUUAUAAUUUUUUUUUAAAAUUAUCAAUUUGAUGAUUUUUUUUUGAACCGUACGAUUUUAUAAUAAUCGGCUCCGGUUAUUUGGUUCGAAUGGUUUUGGAAGGUUCAAUCCGUUUUUUUUUGUUUUACUCCGAUUUUGACCCAUUAACGAUUUUGAAAGGUUGACCAAACCAGAUUUAUCUCCGAUUCCUGGUCCAACCGGUUGAACCGGCUGAUUCGGUCUGGUUUUUAAAACACUGUCUAAAAUGAAAAUUUGAAUUUAAAAAUAAAAUAAAAGAUGUUUAAAUGCAUCUUUUUAAUAAUUUAAAAUAUUCUUUUAUAUUUUUUUGUCUAUCACUCUUUGCUUAUCCCCUUUGUUUUAAGAAAGACAAAAUGAUUCGGCAUAUAUUCUUAAUCAAUUUAGAUGCCACCCAUCAAAACCAGGCCACCAAUAUAAUAAAGUGUUUUUAAUAGGAAACAAAGAGAGUUUGAAGGUGGAGCGGGAAGUCGGGUAUGAUGAUCUUUACGACCAAGUCUUGGAGUUCUACCGUAGUAAAUACUGCAGAAAGGUGAUGAAGUUAGUAGAUAUAGGAGGAGGUAGGUUUUUAUACUAGAUCUAUUAAAGUUUCAUUCUUACCAAUUCAUCAUGUUGUAUAUUUAAAAUUAUCAUAUUUAGUACAUAAUGAACAUAUAUAUUGUCCUUA